AUUGAACGCUGGCGGCAGGCCUAACACAUGCAAGUCGAGCGGAUGAAGGGAGCUUGCUCCUGGAUUCAGCGGCGGACGGGUGAGUAAUGCCUAGGAAUCUGCCUGGUCGUGGGGGAUAACGUCCGGAAACGGGCGCUAAUACCGCAUCCGUCCUGAGGGAGAAAGUGGGGGAUCUUCGGACCUCACGCUAUCAGAUGAGCCUAGGUCGGAUUAGCUAGUUGGUGGGGUAAAGGCCUACCAAGGCGACGAUCCGUAACUGGUCUGAGAGGAUGAUCAGUCACACUGGAACUGAGACACGGUCCAGACUCCUACGGGAGGCAGCAGUGGGGAAUAUUGGACAAUGGGCGAAAGCCUGAUCCAGCCAUGCCGCGUGUGUGAAGAAGGUCUUCGGAUUGUAAAGCACUUUAAGUUGGGAGGAAGGGCAGUAAGUUAAUACCUUGCUGUUUUGACGGUACCAACAGAAUAAGCACCGGCUAACUUCGUG
rnacentral:rRNA from 1 species